rnacentral:rRNA from 1 species
AUACGGAGGAUCCGAGCGUUAUCCGGAUUUAUUGGGUUUAAAGGGUGCGUAGGCGGUUUGCUAAGCGGGAGGUGAAAUGCCGGCGCUCAACGUCGGAAGUGCCUCCCGAACUGGUGGACUGGAAUGACUCUGCCGUGGGAGGAAUGUGUAGUGUAGCGGUGAAAUGCUUAGAGAUUACACAGAACACCGAUUGCGAAGGCAUCUCACGAAGGGUUGAUUGACGCUGAGGCACGAAAGCGUGGGGAUCAAACAGGAUUAGAUACCCUGGUAGUCCACGCAGUAAACGAUGAUGGCUAACCGCUGGUUUAUUCGGAUCAGUGGCCAAGCGAAAGCGAUAAGCCAUCCACCUGGGGAGUACGACCGCAAGGUUGAAACUCAAAGGAAUUGGCGGGG